UACGUAGGGUGCGAGCGUUGUCCGGAAUUAUUGGGCGUAAAGAGCUCGUAGGCGGUCUGUCGCGUCGGAUGUGAAAACACGGGGCUCAACCCCGUGCCUGCAUUCGAUACGGGCAGACUAGAGUUCGGUAGGGGAGACUGGAAUUCCUGGUGUAGCGGUGAAAUGCGCAGAUAUCGGGAGGAACACCUAUGGCGAAGGCAGCUCGCUGGGACGUUACUGACGCUGAGACGCGAAAGCGUGGGGAGCAGACAGG
rnacentral:rRNA from 1 species